rnacentral:rRNA from 1 species
ACACACCGCCCGUCACUCUCCCCAAGUCUAAAGCCCCCGCACUUAAUAAUAAGUACCACCAGCAAAGGGGAGGCAAGUCGUAACAUGGUAAGUGUACCGGAAGGUGUACUUGGAUAAAGCAAAAUGUGGCUAAAUAGAAAAGCAUCUCUCUUAC